GACGAACGCUGGCGGCGUGCCUAACACAUGCAAGUCGAACGGAAAGGCCCUGCUUUUGUGGGGUGCUCGAGUGGCGAACGGGUGAGUAACACGUGAGUAUCCUGCCCUUGACUUUGGGAUAACUUCAGGAAACUGGGGCUAAUAUCGGAUAGGAGCUCCUGCUGCAUGGUGGGGGAUGGAAAGUUUCGGCGGUUGGGGAUGGACUCGCGGCUUAUCAGCUUGUUGGUGGGGUAGUGGCUUACCAAGGCUUUGACGGGUAGCCGGCCUGAGAGGGUGACCGGCCACAUUGGGACUGAGAUACGGCCCAGACUCCUACGGGAGGCAGCAGUGGGGAAUAUUGCACAAUGGGCGGAAGCCUGAUGCAGCAGCGCCGCGUGCGGGAUGACGGCCUUCGGGUUGUAAACCGCUUUCGCCUGUGACGAAGCGUGAGUGACGGUAAUGGGUAAAGAAGCACCGGCUAACUACGUG
rnacentral:rRNA from 1 species